UCAACCUCAUUCAUCAUUUCACACUGUACGUCUAAAUAAUCAACAUUUACAAUUUUGCAAAUGCCAAUAUUACCCUCUUCUCAUGGAAAAAGACUCUACACCUUGUAAUCUAUGGAGGAUCUUUUUAAAGUAGAAAGUUAAACAGAAGCCGCCUCUCUGUUAGAAAAAAAACUCAAAAAGAAGAGAAAAAGAUCAAAACAUCCUUUCUUACCUCCAUCUUCUUCUUCUUCUCCUUCUUUUUCUCCUUCUUCUUCUCUUCCCUUCCCUCUCUUUGUCUCCAUACCUAGAGCAUCAUCGGGAUCUCUGUAAUAAUUCUCAUACACCCUUUCUCCAAACUGAAAGAAGUAAUGGUAAGGGUUUCAAAAGUCAUGAUCAUGGGAAACUCUUGAAUGAAAGUACUUCUUCAUUAGGGUAUUAUAUAGGCAAGAUGGAAUGUGUAAGAGAAUCAAGCAAUGAGAACCCAAACAAAGGAAUUUUUGACUUCCUUGUACCUUCUAAAACUAUCAAUUAUUUACAAAGGAUCAAUACAUAUCGGUUGAAACUUUGGUGGAAGGUAACCAAGCAACAAGCUGGGCUCCAACACCUAUCUGAAUAACAAUGCCUAAUCUGAAAGAGAGAACUAUUUCUUUUGCAAUUGACAUUAUUGCCUAGCAAGGCAGUUUCUCAACCGCUUAAGAAAAAAGAUAAUGUCCUCACCAAGUUCACCUAAAGUAGUGAAUGCCAAUACUUUGAAACCAUAGCCAUGUUCAGUGUGUUUGUCCAGAUAUUUGGUGUUCUUGCAAGUGACAGCACAGCAGCAUGGAUAGCAUGACUUGGAGUGAAAGUACA